rnacentral:tRNA from 1 species
GCUAGCGUGGCAGAGUCCGGUAAAUGCAAAAGGCUUAAGCCCUUUCCCCAGAGGUUCAAAUCCUCUCCCUAGCUUCCCCACCUCUACA